rnacentral:lncRNA from 1 species
GACAGCCCGCCCUGCCCCCUAUCUUCUGUAGGAUAAUCUCACCGCCGCAGUUUGCCGCUCUUCUUUGGCUCCUCGCGCCGCCCUCGUCUUCAUUGCAGUCGUCCCUCACUGUACAUCAGAAGGGCAAGAGGGCGUGCAGGCAAGAGCUGCAGGCUGCACUGUUGUGCGUGUGGGUGAGAAGCACGGGAUGCUCGUGUAGGCAGGAGAAUGGCCCGUUCAACCGCCGCCCUCCUCAUCUUCAAGCCCCACCCCGAGCUCGGCUCUCCAAAGCAUCUCCCUUUUGGUUUCAACCUCCACCCCCGAUAUCCUAUUAUCCUCCCUACCACCACCAUCCUCCCUGCAAACCAGCUCUGCUUUGAUCCCCUGUAAAACAUGCUGCUCCAUGCAUCGGUAGGUAAAAGGUGUCGACCGUGACAUCUAUCUCCCUCCCAACUCCUUGUGUUCUUUAUCUUUCAAAGAAUGUGCAGAAAUUUAAUGCUAUUUGUGGAGAGAGUACUGUUGUGCGGAUUUGUUUUGUUAUUUUGAAGAAUUUUGUAGCUAUUGUGUAGAAUAGUUUACAGAGAAUGUGCUAUUCUGGACGUGCCUAAUUGAGAUAGGCUUAGUCAUGGUCCCGAUCAUAAUCCAUCCUGCUUCUUGGGUGUUAACUGUAUAUCUUGUUAUGAUGAGACACACUUUCCAUUGUGUUAUCGUUUUAAUGAAUGUACCCAAUUAUUUCU